UACGUAGGGUGCAAGCGUUAAUCGGAAUUACUGGGCGUAAAGGGCGCGUAGGCGGCAACUCAAGUCAGCUGUGAAAUCUCCGAGCUUAACUCGGAACGGUCAGCUGAUACUGUUUUGCUAGAGUGCGGAAGGGGCAAUCGGAAUUCUUGGUGUAGCGGUGAAAUGCGUAGAUAUCAAGAGGAACACCUGAGGUGAAGACGGGUUGCUGGGCCGACACUGACGCUGAGUGCGCGAAAGCCAGGGGAGCAAACGGG
rnacentral:rRNA from 1 species